rnacentral:rRNA from 1 species
UAGGGAAUCUUCGGCAAUGGACGGAAGUCUGACCGAGCAACGCCGCGUGAGUGAAGAAGGUUUUCGGAUCGUAAAGCUCUGUUGUAAGAGAAGAACGAGUGUGAGAGUGGAAAGUUCACACUGUGACGGUAUCUUACCAGAAAGGGACGGCUAACUACGUGCCAGCAGCCGCGGUAAUACGUAGGUCCCGAGCGUUGUCCGGAUUUAUUGGGCGUAAAGCGAGCGCAGGCGGUUAGAUAAGUCUGAAGUUAAAGGCUGUGGCUUAACCAUAGUAGGCUUUGGAAACUGUUUAACUUGAGUGCAAGAGGGGAGAGUGGAAUUCCAUGUGUAGCGGUGAAAUGCGUAGAUAUAUGGAGGAACACCGGUGGCGAAAGCGGCUCUCUGGCUUGUAACUGACGCUGAGGCUCGAAAGCGUGGGGAGCAAACAGGAUUAGAUACCCUGGUAGUCCACGCUGUAAACGAUGAGUGCUAGGUGUUAGACCCUUUCCGGGGUUUAGUGCCGUAGCUAACGCAUUAAGCACUCCGCCUGGGGAGUAUGACCGCAAGGUUG